rnacentral:rRNA from 1 species
AACGAACGCUGGCGGCAUGCCUAACACAUGCAGGUCGAACAAGACCUUCGGGUCUAGUGGCGCACGGGUGCGUAACGCGUGGGAACCUGCCCUUAGGUUCGGAAUAACUCCCCGAAAGGGGUGCUAAUACCGGAUAAUGUCUUCGGACCAAAGAUUUAUCGCCUUUGGAUGGGCCCGCGUUGGAUUAGCUAGUUGGUAGGGUAAAAGCCUACCAAGGCGACGAUCCAUAGCUGGUCUGAGAGGAUGAUCAGCCACACUGGGACUGAGACACGGCCCAGACUCCUACGGGAGGCAGCAGUGGGGAAUAUUGGACAAUGGGCGAAAGCCUGAUCCAGCAAUGCCGCGUGAGUGAUGAAGGCCUUAGGGUUGUAAAGCUCUUUUACCCGGGAUGAUAAUGACAGUACCGGGAGAAUAAGCUCCGGCUAACUCCGUG